CGAGCGAGCUUGCCUAGAUGAUUUUAGUGCUUGCACUAAAAUGAAACUAGAUACAAGCGUAGCGGCGACGGGUGAGUAACAACGUGGGUAACCUGCCCAAGAGACUGGGAUAACACCUGGAAACAGAUGCUAAUACCGGGAUAACAACACGUAGACGCAUGUCUAGAGUUUGAAAGAUGGUUCUGCUAUCACUCUUGGGAUGGGACCUGCGGUGCAUUAGCUAGUUGGUAAGGUAACGGCUUACCAAGGCAAUGAUGGCAGUAGCCCGAGUUGAGAGACUGAUCGGCCACAUUGGGACUGAGACACGGCCCAAACUCCUACGGGAGGCAGCAGUACGGGAAUCUUCCACAAUGGACGAAAGUCUGAUGGAGCAACGCCGCGUGAGUGAAGAAGGGUUUCGGCUCGUAAAGCUCUGUUGGUUAGUGAAGAAAGAUAGAGGUAGUAAACUAGGACCUUUAUUUGACGGUAAUUACUUAGAAAAGUCACGGCUAACUACGUGCCAGCAGCCGCGGUAA
rnacentral:rRNA from 1 species